GAUUUGGUGAUUAAGACCAUACUCAACGUUUUCGAAACGUGUAGAGCAUUCUGGAUUUUCUCUGAACCAUUGUUGUAUAACGUCAACGAUGUUGGAAAUAACUUGUAAUGACCGUCUUGGAAAGAAAGUUCGAGUAAAGUGCAAGUAUCCUUUCAAGAAAGAGUUCCCUGUUCUUGGCAAGAAAUUCAAUUGCUUAAAAUUACGUGAAAUUUUGCUUCUUGGCAUUUGAUAGAAGUAUGGUGGUUUAUAUGAAAAGAAUAAUUUGAGAAGUUGGGAACCUCAUUAAAAUACCAAAGCUUUCAAAAUAUUCAUUAAUUUAUGCAUGAAAAUCUAAUUGUACCAAUACUCGGUAAAGCCAUCAAUUUAGAAUAUGAAACUGACUAAUAUAUCUUACGGUGUGACUGUUUUUGAGGGCGAAGCAAAAAAUAAUGGCAUUAGUAUCUAGAUCCAUAACAGGACAAAAAAUAUCCUGAAAUAUUAGCACCUAACGUGUGAGGACAGAGCUCAAUCAAAGUAUUCUAACUUUAGACAUUUUUGAUCUGCCUAUUCAUUGAACGCGGGGAAACUCUAUGCAUCUGAUGUAAACAGUGUAUUGUGACGUCAUAUUCAGCGUUGGUGUUUAGCAAAUACACAAACAUAGGAGACAUGGUGCAAUCGUGUUAAUCAAGGAGUGAUUAAUUAAGAUUUACAUGCUUUUACGGAUUUUAUGUAUCAUCUCAGAACGACGUGAACUUGGGUACACGAGAUUCAAAAUGGAGAAAUACAUGUCCACCCGCUAGUAUUCGAAUCGACGCCAUUGGGACCAAACUUUUCAAGUUCCAUGGGUAUGGUUUAAUUUUUCAUUAGUUUUCUAUAUUUUCCUUUUAAACAUAUAUGUGUUACCUAUAGGGAGAGCUCCGCUCUCACCCUCUAUUAGAAAAAAAAGAAAAGGAGACACAAAAAAUGUGAUGGACUCAUUUUCUUUUGAGUCUUAAAACAAAUGUCAAUUAUUUUUGGUGAAUAAGUAAUUUGAAGAAUUUUUUUAAAAAAAAUGUUUCUUGACCUACCAGCCCUCAUGGUCAGCUGAAACUUGAGAGCUAUUUUGAUGGAAUUUUGUCCAUUUUCUUUCUGUAAACUUCAUAUUACAAUUUCUUCUGAAGAACCAUAUGGGUCAAUAUCAUCCAAAUUAGGCACAUGGUACCUAUGGGUAAUUUGAAGGAAGAUUCAAGUUUGAUCAAACCAGAACCCAGGGGCCAUGAUUGAACCACAGUAGGGAACCCAAGUUUUGCAUCAGAUGUAUAAAAAUUGUUUUUAAAUAGACAUUUCAAGAACCACAAGGAAAUAUUUUGUCUACUUAAUAUGCAGUUAUCCUCAUGGGGUAUAUAUUCAAGUUUGUUAAUGCAUUGACCCCUGUAGCGAUUGGGACCUUGACUGUGUUUGAUAUGUUUUCCAUGGGAAAAUGCACUUAUGUCAUAACUUUGUGUUGUACUUAACCACACAAGUGCUGAUGACACAAUAGGAGAUCUGAAGAAGCUGAUUGCUGCCCAGACAGGUACCCGACCAGAGAAGAUUGUCCUGAAAAAAUGGCAAGUAUUAUCUGUACAUAAGGCCAAAUAAAGUAAUAUGUGUGAUUCCGGUUACACUCCCUUGAAAAUUAGGGUAGGUAGGUAAGGAUUUUAUGUUAUUUUUUAAAUGUAUUUUUUAAUGAUAGAUUUUAGAUGGAAGCACAAUUUUCUUUUAUUUUCACUCCUUUGCAUGUACCAUUUAUAUAUGGUGUGAUAUAUACCUAUCAAAAUUGGUAGGGAUCACCCUAGUUUUGACAAUUCUUACAUAUAUAUAUUUCAAAUAAAAGAAUAAAUACAGGGGAAAAAAA